AUUGAACGCUGGCGGCAGGCCUAACACAUGCAAGUCGAGCGAGCGGCGGACGGGUGAGUAAUUUCUGGGAAACUGCCUGCUGGAGUGGGAUAACUCCUGGCAACGGUAGCUAAUACCGCAUACCAUCAGAUGUGCCCAGAUGGGAUUAGCUAGUAGGUGGGGUAACGGCUCACAGAGGCGACGAUCCCUAGCUGGUCUGAGAGGAUGACCAGCCACACUGGAACUGAGACACGGUCCAGACGACGACGGGAGGCAGCAGUGGGGAAGAUUGCACAAGGGGAGCAAGCCUGAUGCAGCCAGGCCGCGUGUGGGAAGAAGGCCUGCGGGUUGUAAAGCACUUUCAGCGGGGAGGCGUUACCAGCAGAAGAAGCACCGGCUAACUCCGUGCCAGCAGCCGCGGUAAUAC
rnacentral:rRNA from 1 species